UCUUACAAUAAAUAGCCAAAGAGGGUGAGGAGAAGCAAAAUAAACAUAUUCGAAGGGCCAUAGUUAAACAAGAAAGACUCAAGGCUUGUCCACCAACCCUGGGCAAAUACAAAUUCCAGCCUGCUCCUCCACAAGUUCUCUUAUCUGAAGAGUUUACUGGAUCUCUUCGCAAGCUUAAGGGUUGUGCUACACUUGCAAGAGAUAGAUUUAAAAGGUUAGAGAAGAGAGGCCUAAUUCCCCCAUCAGCAAAGAGUGGAAGGAAAUAGAGAGGAUUUGUUUCCAUGGAUCUUGGCCAUUCAUUCAAUUUUGUGGCGAGGCAAAUCAGAAGGCUCUUCAGCCAAUGCGGUUAAAAGGUAGCAAGCCGGAGCCAUGA